GAUCCUGGCUCAGGAUAAACGCUGGCGGCGUGCUUAACACAUGCAAGUCGAACGAAGUUUUUCUUUCGGGAGGAACUUAGUGGCGGACGGGUGAGUAGCGCGUGGGUAACCUGCCCUGUACAGGGGGACAACAGCUGGAAACGGCUGCUAAUACCGCAUAAGCCCUUAGCACUGCAUGGUGCAUAGGGAAAAGGAGCAAUCCGGUACAGGAUGGACCCGCGUCUGAUUAGCCAGUUGGCAGGGUAACGGCCU
rnacentral:rRNA from 1 species